rnacentral:rRNA from 1 species
UACGUAGGGGGCAAGCGUUGUCCGGAAUCAUUGGGCGUAAAGAGCGUGUAGGCGGCCCGGUAAGUCCGCUGUGAAAGUCCAGGGCUCAACCCUGGGAUGCCGGUGGAUACUGUCGGGCUCGAGUCCGGAAGAGGAGUGUGGAAUUCCUGGUGUAGCGGUGAAAUGCGCAGAUAUCGGGAGGAGCACCAGUAGCGAAGGCGGCUCGCUGGGCCAUACCUGACGCUGAGACGCGAAAGCGUGGGGAGCAAACAGG